rnacentral:sRNA from 1 species
UGGUAUCAAGGGCUGCACGAAUCUGGUC